UGUAGCCUUGAGUCUGUGUCUUAGGACACGUGUGUCUGUCCCCAUUUGGUCACUUAUAACUUCUCAUAUGAGUUAGACAUUCAACCAAUGAGUGUCCAAUGAGGAGAAGGCUGGAGGUGGGAGGAGACAUUCCCAACAAGUGCUGAGACUCUCCCUGGGGCUGGAGAGUAAAUUCACCUGUUUGGGAAGAUUUUAAAAAGAAGUCCACAGAAAGCCAGGAGCCAGCCUUUUCCCACCCUUCAGCCUGGGUUGUUUACCACCCAUCCUUGCUCUAAGACGUGCAACUCAGCCACUGAAGCUUGGAAAGCUCUGCCCAGGCCUCCUCAUGCUAGGAAUGUUGGCACAGCGCCCACAGUCUCCAUUCCAGAACACUUCAGUACGUUCAGGAAUGGGUACUGCAUCCCUGGCUUACGUUACACAAAGUGGAGAACACCCUCACCCACCCACUGUCCUGACACCAACUGUUAACGCUGUUGCACAGGACCUGAGUUCUGUUUCUAGCACCUGGGUUGGGUGGCUCGCACCGCCUGUACCUGCAGCUGUAGGGAGCCAAUGCCCUCUUCUGGCCUCCAUGAGAACCUGCACUCAAGUUUUCAUAUGUGGACAUUUAGGGGACAGUUAUCCAAACCAGAGCAGCCAUCAAGGUUACAUCCCUGGCUUUUAUUAACUGGUGAAGAGGAAAAAGAUCCCGAGGUAAGUAGCCAAGGUAAUGAGCAGGGUGGAGGCCGUUCACUGAAAAGGACCAGGAGGAGAAAAGCUAAAGGGACAAGUGAUGCCUGCUAUUGAGUGUCUGAGGGGCCACAAAUUAGAAGAAUAGAGACAUGACCCAGUGGAAAAAGAGCUUGCUCAGAGAACAUGAGGACAUGAGUUCAAAUUCUCAGAGACCACACAGAGCUGGAUGCUAUAAGAACAUGCAUGUAAUCCCAUUGAUGGGAUGGAAGACAGAGACCAAAGAUCCUCUGUAGAAGCUUGGGGACCAGCAAGCCUAGCGUCUUGCAGCAGCAGAAAGCAAUGAGUGAGGGGUUAGGGAUUUAGCUCAGUGGUAGAGCGCUUGCCUAGCAAGCGCAAGGCCCUGGGUUCAGUCCCCAGCUC